ACUACGGGUGGCAGCAGUGGGGAAUAUUGGGCAAUGGGCGCAAGCCUGACCCAGCAACGCCGCGUGAAGGAAGAAGGCUUUCGGGUUGUAAACUUCUUUUCUCAGGGACGAAGCAAGUGACGGUACCUGAGGAAUAAGCCACGGCUAACUACGUGCCAGCAGCCGCGGUAAUACGUAGGUGGCAAGCGUGAUCCGGAUUUACUGGGUGUAAAGGGCGUGUAGGCGGGAAAGCAAGUCAGAUGUGAAAACCAUGGGCUCAACCUGUGGCCUGCAUUUGAAACAGUUUUUCUUGAGUACUGGAGAGGCAGACGGAAUUCCUGGUGUAGCGGUGAAAUGCGUAGAUAUUAGGAGGAACACCAGUGGCGAAGGCGGUCUGCUGGACAGCAACUGACGCUGAGGCGCGAAAGCGUGGGGAGCAAACAGGAUUAGAUACCCGAGUAGUC
rnacentral:rRNA from 1 species